CCCCCCUUAACUCAGUUGGUAGAGUGCUCGGCUGUAGACCGGGAUGUCGCCGGCUCGACUCCGGCAGGGGGGA
rnacentral:tRNA from 1 species